CUCCAACUUACCCACCACCUCCUCCUCCAACAUACCCACCACCACCUCCUCCAACUUACCCACCUCCUCCUCCACCCACAUGUCGACCUCCAACUGACCCAAUCUGUAUUCCUACUAUGCCAUCCGGCGGUUGCUGUGACUUCUGUCCUCCGCCUGUUGAUAUCUGUCCGCUCACGGGGCUACCAAUCAUGUCACGGCUUAGAAGACGAGCGCAGCGCCAGUGCUGGUUGGACGCCCACUGCGCCAGUGA